rnacentral:rRNA from 1 species
UACAGGGAGUGCAAACGUUGCUCGGAAUUAUUGGGCGUAAAGCGCGCGUAGGCGGCUACUUAAGUCGGAUGUGAAAGCCCUUGGCUCAACUGAGGAAGUGCACCCGAAACUGAGUGGCUUGAGUACGAAAGAGGGUCGCGGAAUUCCCGGUGUAGAGGUGAAAUUCGUAGAUAUCGGGAGGAACACCGGUGGCGAAGGCGGCGACCUGGGUCGAUACUGACGCUGAUGCGCGAAAGCGUGGGGAGCAAACAGG